CACAUUUGCUACUUUAGACAAUCAAGAGAAUUUCUUCAAGUUAUACCUCCUAGUAACACAGCAAACAUUUUCAACUAAUAAACGAAUUAUCAGCAAAGAUAGAAGACAAAAAAGGGUACCAGGAACGCAGAGAUCCAAAUCAGAGAAGAAAUUACGAGAAUUUAUAUAUUCAACAUAAAUGUAAAGCAGAAAGGAGAGAGUCUCAAGAAAUACACAGGGAUUGAAGAUAUUACUAUUGAAAAUUAC
rnacentral:lncRNA from 1 species